rnacentral:rRNA from 1 species
CCUACGGGAGGCAGCAGUGGGGGAUAUUGCACAAUGGGGGAAACCCUGAUGCAGCGACGCCGCGUGGGCGAAGAAGUAUUUCGGUAUGUAAAGCCCUAUCAGCAGGGAAGAAGAAAUGACGGUACCUGAGUAAGAAGCACCGGCUAAAUACGUGCCAGCAGCCGCGUUAAUACGUAUGGUGCAAGCGUUAUCCGGAUUUACUGGGUGUAACGGGAGCUCAGGCGGGACGGUAAGCCUGAUGGGAAAGCCUGCGGCCCAAACGCCGGACUGCCUUUGGAACUACCGGGCUGGAGUGCCGGAGAGGUAGGCGGAAUUCGUGGUGUAGCGGUGAAAUGCGUAGAUAUUAGGAGGAACACCGAUGGCGAAGGCAGCCUACUGGACGGUGACUGACGCUGAGGCUCGAAAGCGUGGGGAGCAAACAGGAUUAGAUACCCGAGUAGUC